CCUACGGGGGGCUGCAGUCAAGAACCUUCCACAAUGGACGAAAGUCUGAUGGAGCGACGCCGCGUGAUUGAUGAAGUCCCUAUGGGACGUAAAGAUCUUUUGUCAGGGAUGAAGUUUAUUGACCGUACCUGAAGAAUAAGAGGCUCCUAAUCUCGUGCCAGCAGGAGCGGUAAUACGAGAGCCUCGAGCGUUAUCCGGAAUUAUUGGGCGUAAAGGGUGUGUAGGUUGUUCUGUUAGUCUUUUGUUAAAGCCCUGUGCUUAACACAGGAUCCGCAAAAGAUACGGCAGGACUAGAAAGUGUGAGAGGUGUACGGAACUCAUGGUGUAGGGGUGAAAUCCGUUGAUAUCAUGGGGAACACCAAAAGCGAAAGCAGUACACUAGCGCAUAUUUGACACUGAAACACGAAAGCGUGGGUAGCGAAUGGGAUUAGAUACCCCAGUAGUC
rnacentral:rRNA from 1 species